CACAUGCAAGUCGAACGAAGCACUUGGCGGAACCUUCGGGGGAAGCUGUUGUGACUGAGUGGCGGACGGGUGAGUAACGCGUGGGUAACCUGCCCUGUACAGGGGGAUAACAGCCGGAAAUGGCUGCUAAUACCGCAUAAGCGCACUGAUGGUAGCAUUACCAGGUGUGAAAAACUCCGGUGGUACAGGAUGGGCCCGCGUCUGAUUAGCUUGUUGGCGGGGUAAGAGCCCACCAAGGCGACGAUCAGUAGCCGGUCUGAGAGGAUGAACGGCCACAUUGGAACUGAGACACGGUCCAAACUCCUACGGGAGGCAGCAGUGGGGAAUAUUGCACAAUGGGGGGAACCCUGAUGCAGCCAACGCCGCGUGAGUGAAGAAGUAUUUCGGUAUGUAAAGCUCUAUCAGCAGGGAAGAUAAUGACGGUACCUGACUAAGAAGCUCCGGCUAAAUACGUGCCAGCCGCCGC
rnacentral:rRNA from 1 species